UUGAAGACGCGCAUUUUUUCGUGUUAAUGUAUCCUGGAUGUUAUUAUAAAAAAGUGCAUAUUCUAUUGACUACUUACCUCGGUGAAACGAGGGAUUUAGAUUUACAUAGAUUUAGCUUAUUCGUGUUAUUGAUUUUCAGAAUGUGCGUGCCUACUUGGAUGUGAAAUUGUGUGUGUAGAACAUACUGAUGGAUUAAACAUAUAACUGGCAGACGACGUCAAAGACAAAGUGCUUAUGGAGUGUUUUAAAAACAUAAAAGUUCAGAACAUGAGCAAUUAAAACGGUACAAUCGUGGAAUUAAGCGUUUGAAACAGUAAGUUCAAGGAUAAUAUAUCACCUUGACACGUGAGGUGAACAAGCUGCGCCACGAUGGUGAAAAGGGCAUUGAAGUUACUGACGGCGAACACGUACUGGGGCGUCCUCUUGUCACCUAGAGACGCUAUAUCCAGCAACUCUCGAUGGGACACCUCGGGACCGACCCCUGACCAUAAAAGAUAUAUAAGAUACUUUUAGCAACCCUCUUCGUUUCUGCCCUGUUGAUCGACAUUCCGUCCGUCAAGAGAACCACAUAGCGUCGGGCAGAAUGGUUGAAUGGCCUGUUGAUACACCGACAGUUUUUCAAUAAUGGCACAUCUAAAUAAAGGCGUUCUUUUUGUCUUUAAAACUUUGUCGAGCAUUAAUGAUCAUUUUAAACGCUCGAUCCUUUCGUUCACGUUAACAAACGUCCGUUAGUCUUCGGUUGGAAAAAAAUUACAACAUACAUGU